rnacentral:rRNA from 1 species
GAUGAACGCUGGCGGCGUGCCUAAUACAUGCAAGUCGAGCGAACGGACGAGAAGCUUGCUUCUCUGACGUUAGCGGCGGACGGGUGAGUAACACGUGGAUAACCUACCUAUAAGACUGGGAUAACUUCGGGAAACCGGAGCUAAUACCGGAUAAUAUUUUGAACCGCAUGGUUCAAAAGUGAAAGACGGUCUUGCUGUCACUUAUAGAUGGAUCUGCGCUGCAUUAGCUAGUUGGUAAGGUAACGGCUUACCAAGGCAACGAUGCAUAGCCGACCUGAGAGGGUGAUCGGCCACACUGGAACUGAGACACGGUCCAGACUCCUACGGGAGGCAGCAGUAGGGAAUCUUCCGCAAUGGGCGAAAGCCUGACGGAGCAACGCCGCGUGAGUGAUGAAGGUCUUCGGAUCGUAAAACUCUGUUAUUAGGGAAGAACAUAUGUGUAAGUAACUGUGCACAUCUUGACGGUACCUAAUCAGAAAGCCACGGCUAACUACGUG